UACAGAGGUCCCAAGCGUUGUUCGGAUUCAUUGGGCGUAAAGGGUGCGUAGGUGGCGUCGUAAGUCGGUUGUGAAAUCUCGGGGCUUAACUCCGAAACUGCAUUCGAUACUGCGGUGCUUGAGGACUGGAGAGGAGACUGGAAUUUACGGUGUAGCAGUGAAAUGCGUAGAGAUCGUAAGGAAGACCAGUGGCGAAGGCGGGUCUCUGGACAGUUCCUGACACUGAGGCACGAAGGCCAGGGGAGCAAACGGG
rnacentral:rRNA from 1 species